rnacentral:rRNA from 1 species
UACGUAGGGGGCAAGCGUUGUCCGGAUUUACUGGGCGUAAAGAGCGCGCAGGCGGUCGUUCAAGUCGCGUGUGAAAGCCCCCGGCUCAACUGGGGAGGGUCACGCGAUACUGAUCGACUCGAAGGCAGGAGAGGGUAGUGGAAUUCCCGGUGUAGUGGUGAAAUGCGUAGAUAUCGGGAGGAACACCAGUGGCGAAGGCGACUACCUGGCCUGUUCUUGACGCUGAGGCGCGAAAGCUAGGGGAGCAAACAGG